AACGUAGGGGUCGAGCGUUAUCCGGAAUUACUGGGCGUAAAGCGCGUGCAGGCGGUUUCUUAAGUCGGACGUGAAAGCUCCUGGCUCAACUAGGAGAGGUCGUUCGAAACUGGGGGACUAGAGGCUGGUAGAGGCGAGUGGAAUUCCCGGUGUAGUGGUGAAAUGCGUAGAUAUCGGGAGGAACACCAGAGGCGAAGGCGACUCGCUGGGCCAGACCUGACGCUCAGACGCGAAAGCUAGGGGAGAGAACGGG
rnacentral:misc_RNA from 1 species